GACGUAGGAUGCAAGCGUUGUCCGGAAUUAUUGGGCGUAAAGGGUGCGUAGGCGGCUUUUUAAGUCAGGGGUGAAAGACGGUAGCUUAACUAUCGCAGUGCCCUUGAUACUGAAGAGCUUGAAUAUACUUGAGGUAGGCGGAAUGUGACAAGUAGCGGUGAAAUGCAUAGGUAUGUCACAGAACACCAAUUGCGAAGGCAGCUUACUAAGGUAUGAUUGACGCUGAGGCACGAAAGCGUGGGGAUCAAACAGG
rnacentral:rRNA from 1 species